GACGAACGCUGGCGGCGUGCUUAACACAUGCAAGUCGAACGGAAAGGCCCUGCUUUUGUGGGGUGCUCGAGUGGCGAACGGGUGAGUAACACGUGAGUAACCUGCCCUUGACUUUGGGAUAACUUCAGGAAACUGGGGCUAAUACCGGAUAGGAGCUCCUGCUGCAUGGUGGGGGUUGGAAAGUUUCGGCGGUUGGGGAUGGACUCGCGGCUUAUCAGCUUGUUGGUGGGGUAGUGGCUUACCAAGGCUUUGACGGGUAGCCGGCCUGAGAGGGUGACCGGCCACAUUGGGACUGCGAUACGGCCCAGACUCCUACGGGAGGCAGCAGUGGGGAAUAUUGCACAGUGGGCGGAAGCCUGAUGCAGCAACGCCGCGUGCGGGAUGACGGCCUUCGGGUUGUAAACCGCUUUCGCCUGUGACGAAGCGUGAGUGACGGUAAUGGGUAAAGAAGCACCGGCUAACUACGUG
rnacentral:rRNA from 1 species